rnacentral:rRNA from 1 species
UACGAAGGGUGCAAGCGUUACUCGGAAUUACUGGGCGUAAAGCGUGCGUAGGUGGUUCGUUAAGUCUGAUGUGAAAGCCCUGGGCUCAACCUGGGAAUGGCAUUGGAAACUGGCGACCUAGAGUGCGGUAGAGGGUAGUGGAAUUCCCGGUGUAGCAGUGAAAUGCGUAGAGAUCGGGAGGAACAUCUGUGGCGUAGGCGACUGCCUGGACCAGCACUGACACUGAGGCACGAAAGCGUGGGGAGCAAACAGG